CGGGGUGUUUAGCUGGGCAUGUGGCCAUGAGAACAGACCUCACCCCCCGGAAAGCACGGCUAUGGUCUCACUGUCCUUGCCCACCACUACUGGCCCUGAAAUUACAAGGCUGUGUGGACCUGGGGCUAUGGCAAGUUCUUGCAUUUUAGCCUUGAAAGGUAACAUAGUGAUGUGUUUUUCUCUCUCUUUUAUAGCAUUUUUUCAUGUACCUUUGCUUGGAAGGGAAUUAGUUUGUAACACAGUCUUUUCAUUUCAGGAGAUUUAUCAAUAUUUAUUUUGGCCACCUGAUGUGAAGAGCUGACUCAUUGGAAAAGACCCUGAUGCCGGGCAAGAUUGAGGGCAGGAGGAGAAGGG
ensembl:lncRNA